rnacentral:rRNA from 1 species
UACGGGGGGGGCAAGCGUUGUUCGGAAUUACUGGGCGUAAAGGGCUCGUAGGCGGCCAACUAAGUCGGACGUGAAAUCCCCAGGCUCAACCUGGGAACUGCGUCCGAUACUGGAUGGCUUGAAUCCGGGAGAGGGAUGCAGAAUUCCAGGUGUAGCGGUGAAAUGCGUAGAUAUCUGGAGGAAUACCGGUGGCGAAAGCGGCAUCCUGGACCGGCAUUGACGCUGAGGAGCGAAAAGCCAGGGGAGCAAACGGG